UUGGCGGUGUUGUGAUUGAUUAUUCGCGCUGCGUUGUUGAGCUGAAGGUGGUGGAAGUUGGUUGGGCACUUUGACAUGACAUUCCACGUAGCUUUUACUGCGCCGCACUCUACUAGCAGAAAGGGUCUUAGGCGGCUGUUCAAAUGAAAAAUGACGUUUCUCGCGUUUGUGGCAUUCGGUGUGUGAUGAUCUAGACUGUUGACGUGGCAUAUGGAUUUUAACAUGCUGAUGAAUUCAAAAACUGCAAUAAUGAAAUGAUGUUUGUGUGAAGCCAACAUGAUGCCAAGGAUCGGCCUGCCCUGCCUGAGCGGAGCGCUGGCGCAGUGGGCGCAGCAGCUGUGCCAGCGCUGGGCCGCCGGCUGGACGCUGGCCGUCAGCGUGGUGACGCUGGCGCUCUGCUCGCUGGUGGUGCUCACGCAGGCGCUGGCCGCCGUCGGCACCUACCAAGGUUUGGCGCGACGCUCGAGCCCGGGGCCUCCGGUCUUCUGUCUGGAUAGCAGCUCUCGGUUGUACUCGCUGUGGUGGGAGCAUAAUAUAUCAGCGUCUGGACACGGAACAAUACCCCGUGCGCAAGUAAAAAAAGAUGCAAUCUGCUUAUGAUAUUUGCAGUUUGCCGCGCAUUUC